rnacentral:rRNA from 1 species
UACAGAGGGUGCAAGCGUUAAUCGGAAUUACUGGGCGUAAAGCGAGCGUAGUCGGUUAUUUAAGUCGGAUGUGAAAUCCCCGGGCUCAACCUGGGAAUUGCAUUCGAUACUGGAUAGCUAGAGUUCGGCAGAGGGAAGCGGAAUUUCGGGUGUAGCGGUGAAAUGCGUAGAUAUCUGAAGGAACACCAGUGGCGAAGGCGGCUUUCUGGCCUAUUCUUGACGCUGAGGCGCGAAAGCUAGGGGAGCGAACGGG